CUUCCGCCCAAUCACAGUGCCGAGCCGAGCGGAGCCGGGCCGGGCCGUGCGGGAUCAGGAGGGGAAGGGAAGGGAAAGGAAAGCAGGAUGAUGACUGACCCACUUGUCUCUGAGAGUCUGUGAUUUGCAUGCCCCAGUCUUGGAAAAUAAAGCUGAUGUGUAGACUAGUCAUAUCAACUACUUGAGGGAUCUGCUUGAGGAAGAGCUGAAUCACGUCUUUGCUUGCAGACUGUAACAGAAAUCUGGAUAACUUGUUCAAGACGUUGAUACCUGCAUUAAAGAAGCAUAAAGCUAGCCAAGAUAUGCACCAAUCUGUCUUUUUUCAUAUAGAGGAAAUGUCUAGCAGAUUAAGAUGCAUUAUUAUUAAAAAUAUGUCAGUGCAUAUUCUGUGAUCUUCAGAAGUAAAAGUUCUUUAGCAAUUAAGUUAAUGGAAUAGGAACUUUUCCUUCAGCUGAAACAUAAAGAAUAUGACUUUAGAAAGUAUUACAACUAAACUCUAUUGUAACUUGAAAUAUUCUGAGAUAUCAUAUAAAAUUCUUUUAUAUGAUGUCUGAGGCCUAGAGUUGUAUGUUUCAGAAAUAUAGUAUCUGAGAAAAUGAACACCUCUUGGAUGACUACAUUCUGAAUUUGUUGCCACAGAAACCAUGGGGGAGGACAGCAUCAGGGGAAUGGGAAAGAAUAGAAAAAAGUAUUUGAUUGGCCAUUUAUGAGCAAAAAAAAGCAAGCAUGGGUAUUUAGCUGGCUAGAAGAGUCAAACAUUCAUAUAUCCAGCAGUUCAUUUACUGAAAUACAGUGCUGACCAUACAUCUCCAAAACAAUAAUUCCUUACAUUAUUAAUCAGACACACCACAGCAGAUACUCCUCUAUCAUCCAGAGUAGACAAAAUCUUUAAAACAUGACACCAGAAAAAUGAGAGAGCGUGCUGUCUCCCUGAAGCAAAAAACAGGAAAAGCAAUUGCACUACUGCAGAAGCUGAUAUGGUUAUCUGGGAGAUAAUUCAGUUUGGAACCAAUUAUGUGGCAUCAAGUGGAACCAUACAGGCCAUAGAAUACUGCAGAAAAUCUUGAAAGGCACUUGAACGGAAAGUCAGAGAUUGCCUAGAAGUUUCUUCCUGCCUGUAAAUUAAAGAAAGAAGACAAAAUAUG